GCCACACCCAUAGCAUGCAGAGGUUCCUGGGCCAGGGACUGAACCUGAGCCAUAGCAGCAACCAGAGCUACAAUAGUGACAAUGCCAGAUCCUUAACCACUAGGCCACCAGGGAACUUCCAAGAAGAUUUUUUUUUUAAUUUUUUUCUUUUUUGACUGCUCUACGGCAUGUGGAGUUCUCUGGCCAGGGAUAAGAUCUGAGCUGCAGUUGCCAUCUGGCUCUCAGCUGUGGCAACGCCAGAUCCUUAAUCCACUAUGCUGGGAUCGAACCUGCGUCCCAGCGCUCCCAGGGCCCUGCCAAUCCUGAUGCACCACAGCAGAAACUCCCCAAGAUGAUAUUUUUAAAACGUGGGUCUCAAAACAAAAUUUCAGUUUUUACAGUAAGUUUGAUAUUAUAAGAAGUCCACAUCUAUUUGAACUGGGUUGUUAGGUUAAUUUUUAAAAAAUGGUUACUUACAUAUUUUUAUAAGAUCGAACACUUGACUUUGGUUUUGAAUUCAAUGGGUAGGCAUAGUCAUAUCUAGUUUUGAGUUCAAAACUUUAGUUUUUUUAAGUGUAAACAUAACAGUACUAGAAGACAUGCCACAAAUGAAGAUUUGUUGGAGGCUACCAAAUCCUAAAACAUUUUCGUGAGAAUCUUCUAUGUAGUUCGGAUACUAUGCACAAUGCUGAUAGAAAGAAAAGUCCAGGUAUGUGAUGUGCCCUGAGGGAAAUCCCAGCGAACAGGGUCAGCCAGCCACCUGAGUCAUCUCAGAGUGACAGCAGCAGGUAAUCAGCAGUAUGGUCUGUGAGGUCAGAGUAAAGCUAGAAAAACAGCUUUUUGUUUGUUCAACACUGUGCGGACAAUCAGGGCUUACAGAGAAAAUGGGUAGCAUUUGGAACGAAGAGGUCUUAAUCCCCCGUAACCAGUAGAAGGUGACAAUCCAUUUUGACAACUUAAUUCCAGUGUGUGAUAAUUGUGUUCUAAAAAGAACCAUGGAGGAGUCAGUACCACUGAUUCUAUUAGGAUGGAUUAUGAGGCCUAAAGGAUUGUGUCUGAAAAGGUAUGAGGCCUAUGAAAAUAAGUUCAGAUGUUUCUUGUGUGAUUUUAUUUAAAUGCAAUAUUAAAACUAGUACAAGAUGGCCCCAGAGACAUUUAAGUGGCCAUGUGGAGACCGAGGCAGCCUAUGGAGUGGAUGUGAAGCUGGGUUUCUCUCUCAGGUGUCCAUCCUGUGGGGUGGGGGCUUUGAGGACUGGUACAGGAGAGUGCUCUUGACCACAAUUUAUACUGAAAACCAGAUGAUUUCCAUCGUCAGAGCUACUGAGACACUAGAUUUAAAAGUGCUUGCCGUGUCAUACACGCAUGGUUAUAACUCAUCAAGAAGGAACUGGUGUUAUAACCAUCUGGGGAGAGCUCAGAUCAAAAGGGAGAAUCUGCAGGUCUGUGGCUCUCUCAAAAUCUAGGUUCUAUUAGACAACAAGAAACCUUUGCACAUACUGUUUUACUAGACUAAAUAUACUCCGGUAUGUGGUCAAAGCAAAUACAUCUCCAGUCUGUCAAGGCAAAUGCCAUCAUAUCGCCACAGUCAUUUUAUAACCAUCUAAUAUUUAUCAUUUACCAUAUACUUGAUACUUUUCUAAACACAUUCUAUGUAUUAGGUCAUGCAAGCCUCUUGAAAGCUACCUGAAAUGGGUAUUGCUAUUAUAUCCAAAUAAUAAAACUGGAAAGUGAGGUCAAAGAGGUUAAAUAACUCUCCCAGAUCAGUGAAUUAAGGAGAGUGGAGCCAGGAGUUCCUUGGUGGCACAGCUGGUUAAGGAUCCUGCACUGUCACUGCUGUGCCUUAGUGGCAUACCACAGGUGUGGCCAAAUAAACAAACUAACUAACAAAACCAAAAAGAAGACAUAGAGCCAGUCAGAGACAGUGAAUUAACACGUGAAGAGCUCAAACUUGUAUCUACUGAUUUCAUAGUGGUUUCUUCAUGUAUAAAGAUGUAAAAUUUCCUCAUAACUUAGUAAAACUCAGUAGUGAUAUAAACAUGCUAUAUUUCAAAUGUUUAAAAGUUUAAACAAAAUAAACCUGAAUUUUCUUUAAAUUAUGGAACAGGGCCACACAUGAUUAGAAAAAUCUGCUAUUUGAAUUCUGAUUCUAGCUCUGUUUACUGGUGAUGAGACUCAAAGAAAAUUCUCUUAGUGAUUCUGAGCCUCUGCUUCCUCAAAUAUAAAAGUAUAGAUUUCUUGGGAGGAUUAAGGGUAAUGUACAUAAAGCCCCCAUCUUAUUAUGGGCACAUGAAAAAAGGGAUCCAUUAUUAUUUUUAUUAUGAGAAAAUCUAGGGCAAAUUCCUGUGUUAACUGUACUCCAUGAAUCCAGAGGGUAUCGCUAUUAUUACCCUGAAAAUGACAACGAAAUGGGAUAAUACAUGGCAACUGCUGGAAUCACAGCAUAUUUCUCAAUAACAAGGGAAGUGGUUGGGUCCCUAAGAGCCUCACACAGUUAGCAAAAAAUUCCUCCAUGCCUACAGGAACAAGGGGACAUUUGCUAGCCUUGCCCAACCCUACAACCCAGGCUGGGCACUGAGAACAACUUCCACCUGCCACUACCCUGGACAAAAUGUUUUGAAUAGGCUCCUGAAUUGAUCCUGAGAAGCCCAUGCUUCAAAUAAGUUAUCUAGGUGCUUCAGAACAAGUUUUAAGAUCCAGUGAUUUAAUGCAAUUAUAUCCUGCUGCUUUUUUUUUUUUUUUUUUUUUAAGCCUGGAAACAGUCCAUGGGUCUUAAUUGCCAGUCUCUUUGUUCUUACUUUUUCCCUUCAUAAUACAGCAAAUUUGGGCCCUGGGAAGGUUUUUUAUCUCCCAAGACCUCACAUUUCCAUUAUUACUUCAUUAUCUCCAUUACUACUUCAGGGGACUCCUUAAAAAGGAGAUGAGGGGUGGAGUUCCCAAUGCAGCUCAGCAGAAACAUAUCCGACUAGUAUCCAUGAGGAUGUGGGUUUGAUCCCUGGCCUUGCUCAGUGGGUUAAGGAUCCAGCAUUACCCUGAGCUGUGGUCUAGGUCGAAGACGUGGCUUCAUCCUGUGUUGCUGUGGCUGUGGUGUAGGCCAGCAGCUGCAGUUCUGAUUCAAUGCCUAGUCUGGGAACUGCCAUAUGCUGCAGGUUCAGCCCUAAAAAGACAAAAAAGAAAAAGAAAGAAAAAAAAAAAGCUCUUGCCCACUGGUUAUCAGUGAAGGGGGAAGUCAUACUUUGGACAGGAGUCCAUCCUCCCCUCAACCGUUCCCCCACUGAUUUUGGCAUGUGAAACAAAGCCAAUUUUCCUUUCCACCAACCUUGCCUCUUUACUGGCUUUAGAAGAGCAAGCAGCUGGACCCUACUUUCGGUUACACUAGCUACAGACCACCUGCAUCAGAACCACCUAGAAUUGAAUUAAGAGCAGAGCCUGACCCAGACCUAAUGAACCAGAACCUUUCAUAGGGACCAAGGAUCCACAUUUCUUCAAAGCUCCCAGGUAAUUUAUAUGAGCACUAAAGUUUAGGAACCACUGGUGAACAAAAUGACAGAUAAUUCCUUCUGGGCAAAUUAAUGUUCGGCAGAUGGCCGUUAGCCUACAUCACAAAUAUAUUAAAACCAUAGUCAAGAUUUUCGCUUCACUCAGAAAGAAACAGAAAUAAAUGUGUGCCAAAGAUUUCCUGGAUGACAUUUUGAAAAUUCAAGUGAAAAGAACACAUCAUAGGCGGUUAUCUUUAUGACGAGGAUAAGGGCUUUUCCUUCUUAAGCGAGCCUCCAAAGGUACAAACCAAAAGCACACAGCUGCUAUUUUUCUGGUUAAUGAAGCACGUCAUAGGCAAAGUUAACAAGCAUGACAAGUAUGAAGAUAAUAUCUGCCAUCUUUAGAUCUAAAUAUCUAGAACAUAUAAGCAGUACCUGCAAAUCAACCAGAAGAAGCCAAGGAUACCAACAGAACAAUAAGCAAAGAAUAGGAAUAGAAAAUUCACAGAAGCACUAAUUUGCAGAGAAACACAAAUGAAAUUUACAAUGAGAUCUUACUUGACACCCAUCAAAAUGGAUAUAAGUGCCCAGCAAACAGAAAGUUGGAUAAUACCAAAUCCUGCAAGGAGGUGCAGAAGCCAAGAACCUUCAAAAACCACCUUAACUUAGUGUAGCCACU
ensembl:lncRNA